rnacentral:rRNA from 1 species
UACAGAGGUCUCAAGCGUUGUUCGGAUUCAUUGGGCGUAAAGGGUGCGUAGGUGGCGCCGUAAGUCGGGUGUGAAAUUUCGGAGCUUAACUCCGAAACUGCAUUCGAUACUGCGGUGCUUGAGGACUGGAGAGGAGACUGGAAUUUACGGUGUAGCAGUGAAAUGCGUAGAUAUGCGGAGGAACACCGAUGGCGAAGGCAAUCCCCUGGGCCUGCACUGACGCUCAUGCACGAAAGCGUGGGGAGCAAACAGG